CUUGUCGGGUAAGUUCCGACCUGCACGAAUGGUGUAACCAUGGCCACGCUGUCUCCACCCGAGACUCAGUGAAAUUGAAAUCGCAGUGAAGAUGCUGUGUACCCGCACCUAGACGGAAAGACCCCGUGAACCUUUACUACAGCUUGGCACUGAACAUUGAACCUACAUGUGUAGGAUAGGUGGGAGGCUUUGAAGCACAGUCGCUAGAUUGUGUGGAGCCGUCCUUGAAAUACCACCCUUGUAUGUUUGAUGUUCUAACAUUGUUCCCUUAUCGGGAAUGUGGACAGUGUCUGGUGGGUAGUUUGACUGGGGCGGUCUCCUCCCAAAUAGUAACGGAGGAGCACGAAGGUUAGCUAAUCACGGUCGGACAUCGUGAGGUUAGUGCAAUGGCAUAAGCUAGCUUAACUGCGAGACAGACACGUCGAGCAGGUACGAAAGUAGGUCAUAGUGAUCCGGUGGUUCUGUAUGGAAGGGCCAUCGCUCAACGGAUAAAAGGUACUCCGGGGAUAACAGGCUGAUACCGCCCAAGAGUUCAUAUCGACGGCGGUGUUUGGCACCUCGAUGUCGGCUCAUCACAUCCUGG
rnacentral:rRNA from 13 species